AGCUUUGCGCAGUGGCAGUAUCGUAGCCAAUGAGGUUUAUCCAAGGCGCGAUUAUUGCUAAAACAAUGCCACUCUCCUCAUGACUUUUUUUAAAUUUUGGAAAAUAUACUUAU
rnacentral:snRNA from 1 species